rnacentral:rRNA from 1 species
GACGAACGCUGGCGGCGUGCUUAACACAUGCAAGUCGAACGGAAAGGCCCUGCUUUUGUGGGGUGCUCGAGUGGCGAACGGGUGAGUAACACGUGAGUAACCUGCCCUUGACUUUGGGAUAACUUCAGGAAACUGGGGCUAAUACCGGAUAGGAGCUCCUGCUGCAUGGUGGGGGUUGGAAAGUUUCGGCGGUUGGGGAUGGACUCGCGGCUUAUCAGCUUGUUGGUGGGGUAGUGGCUUACCAAGGCUUUGACAGGUAGCCGGCCUGAGAGGGUGACAGGCCACAUUGGGACUGAGAUACGGCCCAGACUCCUACGGGAGGCAGCAGUGGGGAAUAUUGCACAAUGGGCGGAAGCCUGAUGCAGCAACGCCGCGUGCGGGAUGACGGCCUUCGGGUUGUAAACCGCUUUCGCCUGUGACGAAGCGUGAGUGACGGUAAUGGGUAAAGAAGCACCGGCUAACUACGUG